rnacentral:lncRNA from 1 species
CGUACAUAUGAUAAUUGAAACAAGAAAAAUAAACAAAUAUAACUGUAUGCUUGGGCUGUAUAAGUCCCAGAUUCUGUUUUAAAGUAGAUCUUAUGGAAAUAAAAUAGCAUUUAUAAAUGAUUAUUUAUUAGAAAAUGUCAAUUUAUUUUUCCUGGACCUGGUGAAAAGGGGGAGGGGUAAAACAAAUUGUUAAUUUUCCAUGAAAAUAAGAGGGGAAAGAAA